AUUGAACGCUGGCGGCAUGCUUUACACAUGCAAGUCGAACGGUAACAGGCCGCAAGGUGCUGACGAGUGGCGAACGGGUGAGUAAUGCAUCGGAACGUGCCCAGUCGUGGGGGAUAACGCAGCGAAAGCUGUGCUAAUACCGCAUACGAUCUAUGGAUGAAAGCGGGGGACCGUAAGGCCUCGCGCGAUUGGAGCGGCCGAUGUCAGAUUAGGUAGUUGGUGGGGUAAAGGCCUACCAAGCCGACGAUCUGUAGCUGGUCUGAGAGGACGACCAGCCACACUGGGACUGAGACACGGCCCAGAAUCCUACGGGAGGCAGCAGUGGGGAAUUUUGGACAAUGGGCGCAAGCCUGAUCCAGCAAUGCCACGUGCAGGAAGAAGGCCUUCGGGUUGUAAACUGCUUUUGUACGGAACGAAACGGCCUGGGUUAAUACCCUGGGCUAAUGACGGUACCGUAAGAAUAAGCACCGGCUAACUACGUGCCAGCCGCCGCGGUAAUAC
rnacentral:rRNA from 1 species